UGCAUUUAUUAUAACAGGUGCUUAAGUUAGGC
rnacentral:piRNA from 1 species